CCCGAAGUAGUAAGAGUUAUUUUAUUUGUAGUUAGCGUGUUAUAGUUAUUACUAAGGUAAAUUAGAGGUGAUAUGCCAGUCNAUUACUAUAUANCNGGNUUANUCNAUUCAAAUUUAAUUUAUAUGUAGAAUUCAAAGAUCCANUUUGGNNNGNUANNGNGGCAAGCNCNUUAUGUUAAGUNGNNACUGNAAAUUUAUAGGAGANUUAAUAAUCUCCAUUAUUUUUAAUAAAAUUUUAUUGACUUAAAAAGGUUUAACCUCAAAAAAAAUUUUUUUAAUAGAAAAUAAUAAAUAGAUUAUUAUUUUGAGGAGGAUUAUAUAUAAUUAUAACUGUAAUCCGUAUGGGUAAGGGGGGAGGAAUUUUUAGAGAACUCGGCAAAAUUAAUUUCGCAUGUUUACCAAAAACAUCUCUUGAAAUAUUUCAAGUAACCUCUGCCCUAUGAAUAGUUUAAAUGGCCGCAGUACUUUGACUGUGCAAAGGUAGCAUAAUCACUUGUCUUUUACCUUGGUACUAUCUAUUGUAUAGUAAAGUUUUAUAGGCUNNGGNGUNAUAAGAUAAAAUUAACAUAANGGNNNAAAGGCUUUUAUAAACCAAAGGGACGAUAAGAUCCUAUAAAACUUUACUAUACAAUAGAUUACCAAGGUAAGAUUUAAAUUAUAGUUUAACUGGGGCGGUUUGUAUAAAAACAAUAGUAAUGUUAAUAUUUUUAAUAGACCUAGAGAGCUCUAAUAGGAAAAGAACAAGUUACUUUAGGGAUAACAGCAUAAUUCUCCCAGAGAGUCCUAAUUGGCGGGAGAGCUUAUGACCUCGAUGUUGAAUUGGGAUAUCUAAUGUAAGUAGAAGUAUAUUAAGACAGUCUGUUCCACCNNCNANNUAUUGACNAGANGGNUUAGCGUUNCGANCUCCGGNGNCCCCCGGGUGGNCUCUAUCUUUU
rnacentral:rRNA from 1 species